UACGUAGGGGGCAAGCGUUGUCCGGAAUCAUUGGGCGUAAAGCGCGUGUAGGCGGCCCGGUAAGUCCGCUGUGAAAGUCGGGGGCUCAACCCUCGGAUGCCGGUGGAUACUGUCGGGCUAGAGUGCGGGAGAGGCGAGUGGAAUUCCUGGUGUAGCGGUGAAAUGCGCAGAUAUCAGGAGGAACACCAAUUGCGAAGGCAGCUCGCUGGAACGUAACUGACGCUGAGGCGCGAAAGCGUGGGGAGCAAACAGG
rnacentral:rRNA from 1 species